UAUUGCACAAUGGGCGAAAGCCUGAUGCAGCGACGCCGCGUGAGGGAUGACGGCCUUCGGGUUGUAAACCUCUUUCAGCAGGGAAGAAGCCACAAGUGACGGUACCUGCAGAAGAAGCGCCGGCUAACUACGCGCCAGCAGCCGCGGUAAUACGUAGGGCGCAAGCGUUGUCCGGAAUUAUUGGGCGUAAAGAGCUCGUAGGCGGUUUGUCGCGUCUGCUGUGAAAGCCCGGGGCUUAACCCCGGGUGUGCAGUGGGUACGGGCAGACUAGAGUGCAGUAGGGGAGACUGGAAUUCCUGGUGUAGCGGUGGAAUGCGCAGAUAUCAGGAGGAACACCGAUGGCGAAGGCAGGUCUCUGGGCUGUUACUGACGCUGAGGAGCGAAAGCAUGGGGAGCGAACAGG
rnacentral:rRNA from 1 species